AUUUUACAUAGGAACCUUGAAGCAAAUAACUUUUCGGGGACUGUUCCUUCUUAUUUGGGGAGAUUAAUAAAUUUACAAACAUUGAUUUUGUCCUCAAACCGGUUGACGGGAACGUUGCCAACAUCCCUUGCUGAAUUAAGCAAUUUAAAAGACAUGUGCAAGAGCCUAACGGUAGCCGGACGAUAUUUGUAUUGUUUGUUUAAUUGGACUG